CUUAAUUGGGCGUUAAGUUGCAGGGUAUAGACCCGAAACCCGGUGAUCUAGCCAUGGGCAGGUUGAAGGUUGGGUAACACUAACUGGAGGACCGAACCGACUAAUGUUGAAAAAUUAGCGGAUGACCUGUGGCUGGGGGUGAAAGGCCAAUCAAACCGGGAGAUAGCUGGUUCUCCCCGAAAGCUAUUUAGGUAGCGCCUCGUGAAUUCAUCUCCGGGGGUAGAGCACUGUUUCGGCUAGGGGGCCAUCCCGGCUUACCAACCCGAUGCAAACUGCGAAUACCGGAGAAUGUUAUCACGGGAGACACACGGCGGGUGCUAACGUCCGUCGUGAAGAGGGAAACAACCCAGACCGCCAGCUAAGGUCCCAAAGUCAUGGUUAAGUGGGAAACGAUGUGGGAAGGCCCAGACAGCCAGGAUGUUGGCUUAGAAGCAGCCAUCAUUUAAAGAAAGCGUAAUAGCUCACUGGUCGAGUCGGCCUGCGCGGAAGAUGUAACGGGGCUAAACCAUGCACCGAAGCUGCGGCAGCGACACUGUGUGUUGUUGGGUAGGGGAGCGUUCUGUAAGCCUGCGAAGGUGGCCUGUGAGGGUUGCUGGAGGUAUCAGAAGUGCGAAUGCUGACAUAAGUAACGAUAAAGCGGGUGAAAAGCCCGCUCGCCGGAAGACCAAGGGUUCCUGUCCAACGUUAAUCGGGGCAGGGUGAGUCGACCCCUAAGGCGAGGCCGAAAGGCGUAGUCGAUGGGAAACGGGUUAAUAUUCCCGUACUUGGUGUUACUGCGAAGGGGGGACGGAGAAGGCUAUGUUGGCCGGGCGACGGUUGUCCCGGUUUAAGCGUGUAGGUGUGUGUUCCAGGUAAAUCCGGUUCACUUUAACACUGAGGCGUGACGACGAGGCACUACGGUGCUGAAGCAACAAAUGCCCUGCUUCCAGGAAAAGCCUCUAAGCAUCAGGUAACAUCAAAUCGUACCCCAAACCGACACAGGUGGUCAGGUAGAGAAUACCAAGGCGCUUGAGAGAACUCGGGUGAAGGAACUAGGCAAAAUGGUGCCGUAACUUCGGGAGAAGGCACGCUGACACGUAGGUGAAGUGAUUUACUCAUGGAGCUGAAGUCAGUCGAAGAUACCAGCUGGCUGCAACUGUUUAUUAAAAACACAGCACUGUGCAAACACGAAAGUGGACGUAUACGGUGUGACGCCUGCCCGGUGCCGGAAGGUUAAUUGAUGGGGUCAGCGCAAGCGAAGCUCCUGAUCGAAGCCCCGGUAAACGGCGGCCGUAACUAUAACGGUCCUAAGGUAGCGAAAUUCCUUGUCGGGUAAGUUCCGACCUGCACGAAUGGCGUAAUGAUGGCCAGGCUGUCUCCACCCGAGACUCAGUGAAAUUGAACUCGCUGUGAAGAUGCAGUGUACCCGCGGCAAGACGGAAAGACCCCGUGAACCUUUACUAUAGCUUGACACUGAACAUUGAGCCUUGAUGUGUAGGAUAGGUGGGAGGCUUUGAAGUGUGGACGCCAGUCUGCAUGGAGCCGACCUUGAAAUACCACCCUUUAAUGUUUGAUGUUCUAACGUGGACCCGUUACCCGGGUUGCGGACAGUGUCUGGUGGGUAGUUUGACUGGGGCGGUCUCCUCCUAAAGAGUAACGGAGGAGCACGAAGGUUGGCUAAUCCUGGUCGGACAUCAGGAGGUUAGUGCAAUGGCAUAAGCCAGCUUGACUGCGAGCGUGACGGCGCGAGCAGGUGCGAAAGCAGGUCAUAGUGAUCCGGUGGUUCUGAAUGGAAGGGCCAUCGCUCAACGGAUAAAAGGUACUCCGGGGAUAACAGGCUGAUACCGCCCAAGAGUUCAUAUCGACGGCGGUGUUUGGCACCUCGAUGUCGGCUCAUCACAUCCUGGGGCUGAAGUAGGUCCCAAGGGUAUGGCUGUUCGCCAUUUAAAGUGGUACGCGAGCUGGGUUUAGAACGUCGUGAGACAGUUCGGUCCCUAUCUGCCGUGGGCGCUGGAGAACUGAGGGGGGCUGCUCCUAGUACGAGAGGACCGGAGUGGACGCAUCACUGGUGUUCGGGUUGUCAUGCCAAUGGCACUGCCCGGUAGCUAAAUGCGGAAGAGAUAAGUGCUGAAAGCAUCUAAGCACGAAACUUGCCCCGA
rnacentral:rRNA from 1 species